GCAAGUCGAGCGGAAAUGAUUAUAGCUUGCUAUCAGGCGUCGAGCGGCGGACGGGUGAGUAACGCGUAGGAAUCUACCUAGUAGUGGGGGAUAGCCCAGAGAAAUGUGGAUUAAUACCGCAUACGCCCCAUGGGGGAAAGGAGGGGACUCAUGUAUGAGCCUUUCGCUAAUAGAUGAGCCUGCGUAAGAUUAGCUAGAUGGUGGGGUAAUGGCCUACCAAGGCGACGAUCUUUAGCUGGUUUGAGAGGAUGAUC
rnacentral:rRNA from 1 species